ACGCGGUAUCACUCAUCCCACUCAAUUUCUUCUCUGUACGUGAGAUUCCCCCUUCGUGACCCUCACUUCUCAAUCAACCCUCUCUUACUUUUCGUUCUUCUUCCAUUUUUUCUUUAGGUGGAGGGGAGUUAACGAAAUUUGAAAAUGAAUAAUGAUUUGCCUGCUAGUUUUGAAUAAAAAUGUUGAGACGGCCAUGAAGAUAGAUGAAGACUGCAUGCUACCAUAUAGAAGAUUUUGAUCUUUAUAUUAACUAAUUAGUUGUAACUUAGAGAUAUCCAUGUUACCAUAUUAGUGGCUAUACAUUUCUGACUUUUAUGCCAUAUAUACAUACUUUUAUGAUAUAUUUGAGUUUUAUUUGAAAAAUAAUAGUCACAAUUAUAAUGUGCCAAAA